GACCAGACUCCUACGGGAGGCAGCAGUGGGGAAUAUUGCACAAUGGGGGAAACCCUGAUGCAGCGACGCCGCGUGAGUGAAGAAGUAUUUCGGUAUGUAAAGCUCUAUCAGCAGGGAAGAGAAUGACGGUACCUGACUAAGAAGCCCCGGCUAACUACGUGCCAGCAGCCGCGGUAAUACGUAGGGGGCAAGCGUUAUCCGGAAUCACUGGGUGUAAAGGGAGCGUAGACGGCUGAGCAAGCCUGAAGUGAAGGGCGGGGGCCCAACCCCCGGACUGCUUUGGGAACUGUACAGCUAGAGUGCAGGAGGGGUGAGCGGAAUUCCUAGUGUAGCGGUGAAAUGCGUAGAUAUUAGGAGGAACACCGGUGGCGAGGGCGGCUCACUGGACUGUAACUGACGUUGAGGCUCGAAAGCGUGGGGAGCACACAGGAUUAGAUACCCGAGUAG
rnacentral:rRNA from 1 species